UGAAUCAAACAGAUGGUAUGGAGCAUAUUUCACAACGCAAAAUAUGACAUGCCAAAGAUUAGAGUGCAAAGGCUUUUAUUUUCUCGAUCAGUCUGCCUGUGUGGAUGUUCCGCAGGAAGGCAAAUUGCCUCAAGCUCAACCACACGACUCUUGAGGGUUUCCUGUCAGAACAAGGCCACAAAAUAUGUCAACACCACUGUUUCCUAUCUUCUCUAAUUGCCUUUACUCGGAAUCUGUAUCUCGGCACAACUACCCCCUGUUGAGUUUGCUAAUAGACCUUGGGGGUGGGGUCUUUAAGUCUAAUCAUACAGAGGUGUAGACUGAUGAUUAAUUUGGGUUAAUAUUUCAGCAGGGGAGGACCUGUUGCAUCAUGUCCAGCCACCGCUGGGUUCCAUCCUGCAACACCUUUAGGACUGCAUUCUGGAUUUCUGCCUGAGCCACAAUCCUCAACUGAAUCAAGACCACUGAGCUCUCUGACAGAAGAGACUGAGGAAUGCUCCGCUCAAAGGCACACAUCUGUCUCCUACCGGGCUGUGAAAACAUGGCACUAUAUAUUUUUUGAGUCGCUAAAACAGAGAAGCCCACACCCUGGCACAUGUGCAGUGCAUCAUAAAGCUCGUGUGACUCUCAGAAGGAGAAGGAGUCGGCAGAUAGCCAGUGAUUAGCAGUUGGGGACGCUAUGGCUGUCUUAUUGGUAUGCCAGAGCAGGUACGGACGUCUGUCCUGAGACAGCUGUGGAGCACUAGCCCAUAGCGUGGCAAUCAAGCGCCUGUUUCUUUCUAAGAAUACUGAUGUGCUGCAGUCUGUUGCUUUCUGCAGCCAACUCUUCCAUCUGUACAAUAUCACAGUGUCAGUCUCAGCCUCUUCCUUGUCACGUCACCUCAGGCACUGAGUCACCCAAAAAUAAAUCAUUAAUCGAAUCAAUCGAAAGUGUGUAAACUAUAUCUAAAAGGAAUACCGACCUUUUCAAAGAUGGAUGUGUUUGUUGUGACAGCGGCAGGCUGUCAGUGCUACUAAGCCUGGCGACCUUUAUGUCACCAUUGGUCUGUGCGUGAGACCUUUAAGCAUCUAUUACCAUCACUCUUCACUCCAGCAUGAAGAGUCUAUCCUGCAGAUUAAAGGAGAACAUAUGAGUGAAAGGAACAAUGAUAGUCAAUCCAUCUUCGUUAUUUCACAAGGUAAUUGGUGUCUUGAGGUAUCGGGCUUGGCUAUAUGUGCAAUUAAUAUCAAAACAUACUCUGGACAAAUGGAAUCAAUGUAAACCUUUUUAAAGUGAAUAAGAAAUAUGAUGUUCCUUUAUUCAUCCAUCCAUGUUCUAUACUGUGUGUACUUGAUGGUGUCACAGGUGGGAUGGAAUGUAGCACAGAUAAUUUUGGGCCAUACAAGUAAAAACAAAAAAACGUUUUCAGUUGUGGACAUUGUAAUUUAUUUCAAAUAACAUGCAGGCUUCUGGAAACCCUGAGUAUCAAAACAUGCAGAAUCCACACAGGGAGCUGAGAUUUUGACAAUACUUUUCAAUGGUGCGCAUGUGUCUUAUUCUUCCAAGGUUAUACUCUCAUAGUUUAUGUAAUCAUUGGUGUGUGUUUUUUUCCUUUUGAAUAACUCUAAGUCAUAUUGCCAGUUUACAAUAUCAAAAUCCACUGCUUUAUGUAUUUCUACAAAGUGUAAAGGGGUGAUACUGGUUGCAAAAGUAGGUUCCAUGGAUGCAUGCUGCAUUAAACUACAGUACAUUAAUCUUACAUUAA